AUUCCAGCUCCAAUAGCGUAUAUUAAAAUUGCUGCAGUUAAAAAGCUCGUAGUUGGAUCUUGGGCGCAGGCUGGCGGUCCGCCGCAAGGCGCGCCACUGCCCGCCUGGCCUUCCUCUCGGUCUCCGCCCGGUUCUCUUGACUGAGUGCCGGGCGCGGCCGAAACGUUUACUUUGAAAAAAUUGGAGUGUUCAAAGCAGGCCGUGCGCCUGGACAGCAGAGCAUGGAAUAAUGGAAUAGGACCUCGGUUCUAUUGCGUUGGUUUUCGGAACUCGAGGUAAUGAUUAAGAGGGACUGACGGGGGCAUUCGUAUUGCGGUGUGAGAGGUGAAAUUCUUGGAUCGCCGCAAGACGACCGACCGCGAAAGCAUUUACCAAGGAUGUUUUCAUUA
rnacentral:rRNA from 1 species